rnacentral:rRNA from 1 species
CGGUGGGUGCUAGCUGUGGGCCACAUUCCACGUGGUCCGUGACGAAGUUAACACAUUAAGCACCCCGCCUGGGGAGUACGGCCGCAAGGCUAAAACUCAAAGGAAUUGACGGGGGCCCGCACAAGCGGCGGAGCAUGCGGAUUAAUUCGAUGCAACGCGAAGAACCUUACCAAGGCUUGACAUAUAGAGGAAAAGUGCAGAAAUGCACUCCCCGCAAGGUCUCUAUACAGGUGGUGCAUGGUUGUCGUCAGCUCGUGUCGUGAGAUGUUGGGUUAAGUCCCGCAACGAGCGCAACCCUCGUCCUAUGUUGCCAGCACGUAAUGGUGGGAACUCAUGGGAUACUGCCGGGGUCAACUCGGAGGAAGGUGGGGAUGACGUCAAAUCAUCAUGCCCCUUAUGUCUUGGGCUUCACGCAUGCUACAAUGGCCGGUACAGAGGGCUGCAAUACCGCAAGGUGGAGCGAAUCCCAAAAAGCCGGUCUCAGUUCGGAUUGAGGUCUGCAACUCGACCUCAUGAAGUCGGAGUCGCUAGUAAUCGUAGAUCAGCAACGCUACGGUGAAUACGUUCCCGGGCCUUGUACACACCGCCCGUCAAGUCACGAAAGUCGAUAACACCCGAAGCCGGUGGCCUAACCGCAAGGAGGGAGCCGUCGAAGGUGGGAUUGGUGAUUGGGACUAAGUCGUAACAAGGUAACC